AAUGUUGACAAAUCAUUCUAUGCUGCUUGUAUUUUAUUUGAAAAGUGGUUCUUCUGGAAAAAGUGCUCUUGGAACUCAGCCAUCCUGCCAAGAUUCCAGGCAAUCAACAGCCAUAUGUAUGUGAGAAAGGCUUUGAAGUAACUCCAGCUCCUGUCACCAUCUCACUCUGCACCAGAAACCCAAGCAAGAAGCACCUAGAUCUAUCAAGCAUAAGAGAAGGAAGACUCCGUAUUUGGAAAAAAUUCUGGACUAACUGGAUGGACUUAGCUUUAUCCUGAUCUACCUCAGAAGGUUGAUUUUUAACAUCAUUCGAAAGAGAGUCCCCUUCAGUAACCUCAUCAAGAGACGGUGUGCACAGAAGGUGUGCACAAGCCAGCAUCUGACGAGAGAUGGCGGGGAGCCAGCAAGCCUGCACGCGGCGGGGGUGGCGAUGGCUCUGACCUCCUGUCUCACUGAUCAACUCAGAUCACUUCCCCUUUUCCCUUUAAAAACUUUCACAGCUGAGCAGAAUCUUUGCCGAUGGUUUUUGGGGGUCACUGAGUCCACCAUCUCCCCGGGCUGCCGGCGUUCUGAUUAAAAGCAACUUUCCUUUCCACCAACAUUUCCCUCUCUUGAGUAUGGAUUUUUGAGCGGCAGGCAGCCAGACCCGAGUUCGGUAACAAUAUAAUACCUUCCAGGUUUAUCUGAUCACUAGUGUCUUCAUCAAAUCGUCAUUUUUUACCCUCAGAAUGAAAUGGAAUGUUCAACAGAAUUGAAUCCAACCACUUUGUUUAUAUUUCUGCUCAUAGACACAUCAGUGUUUUCUAAUUUUAUUAUAAACCUUAAUAAAAUAAAACAUAAUGGCCCAGUAAGAAAACAUACCCCCCUAAAAGUAAACUUUACUAUGUACAAAAAAAAAGUUAGUAUCAGAGUUGCAUUCAUUUGGAAAUGAACUACAAAAAAUCAUCCCUAAAAAGCAUAUAAAAGUCAGGGUAGAUUUUAUUUAACAAAAUGUUUGCCUUUUUGUACAUUUAUUCUAGCCUGCAACAUUU